rnacentral:rRNA from 1 species
UGGGGAAUAUUGCACAAUGGGCGCAAGCCUGAUGCAGCAACGCCGCGUGGAGGAAGACGGUUUUCGGAUUGUAAACUCCUGUUCUUAGUGAAGAAAAAUGACGGUAGCUAAGGAGCAAGCCACGGCUAACUACGUGCCAGCAGCCGCGGUAAUACGUAGGUGGCGAGCGUUGUCCGGAAUUAUUGGGCGUAAAGGGAGCGCAGGUGGGAAAGUAAGUCAGUCUUAAAAGUUCGGGGCUCAACCCCGUGAUGGGAUUGAAACUACUUUUCUUGAGUGCAGGAGAGGAAAGCGGAAUUCCUAGUGUAGCGGUGAAAUGCGUAGAUAUUAGGAGGAACACCAGUGGCGAAGGCGGCUUUCUGGACUGUAACUGACACUGAGGCUCGAAAGUGUGGGGAGCGAACAGGAUUAGAUACCCU